GGGAGGAUCCACUAAAUGGACCAACGGAGCACUGUCGGGUCGAUAGCCCUUGAUCCGAGAUCUCUUUUUAACAAAAAAGAGUUGGAUUUGCCAGCCUUAGCCGAAGAAGACUGUUCGUAUAGUAGUAGGUUUGAGAACCGGUUCAAACCAUCUCAUAGGUCGUCCUCAAGCCUUAGCCGAAGAAGACUGUUCGUAUUGUAGUAGGUUUGAGAAAUGGUUCAAACCAUCUCAUAGGUCGUCCUCAGUACAAAAGGUCAAUUCAAUUUCUAUACUAAGCUUUC
rnacentral:lncRNA from 1 species